UUCACUAUAUAUGCUAAACGGUGACCUAUAUGGAAUUCGAAUCGAGUUGGGGACAGUUUUCAUCAUCUUACCCGGCUAAUCCCUUUGUUGCAAAGAUGUGUACAAACACUAAUUGUUAUUAUUGAGGGUAUGACACAUAUCAGUCAAUGGGAUGAUAUUUUACUUUGCCUAUGAUGAUUGUAGGCAACAGCCAGCUUUGGCUGGAAAGAUAUGAGGUGGAUAUUUUUAUGCUUGGCGAUACAUUAACUUCUGAUUAUACUUUGCAUUUAUGUAAUAAUUCUGUAUGUUAUAUGAUUCUGUGUUUAUUAGUGUUCGUAAUAAUGAGUUUUUGGGAUAAAAAAUUUAGUUAAGUUUUUCCUGUAUUGUGUGUUGCAUAUGUGUAGUGUAUGAUAAAGAUAUGUGAAUCACAUUUUUGUAUCCACUAUUAUUGGUAUGUUUUUUUUUUGUUCACUUCUUCUUUAAGUAUUGACAACCAAAGUCUGCUUCAUUCUGCUGAUGAAUUUUUUAGACAUUUUUAUUUAUUUAGUAGGGAGCAGGAGACUUUGGUUGCCAAUACGUAAAGAAGAAGUGAACAACAAAAACAUACCAACACAGAGGAUUGAAAAAUGUGAAGCACAUUAUCUCUAUCAUACACUACACAUAUGCAACACACAAUACAUAAAAAACUUAACUUCCAACAUUUUUUACCCUCAAAAACUCAUCAUUACGAACACUCCCAAACAUAGAAUCACAUAACACACAUAAUUAUUGCACAUAUACACAGGUUAAACUAGUCUGAUAAACCAUUCUCUCGGGUUUCUAUGGCGUUCUUCUUCGACCUGGCCCCCUUCUUCCAUUCGAAACAGAACGUAUUGCCUUGCAUUGUAUUAUCAAAUGGAGUAUAUUUGAUCUCUCUGGGUGGCGCACUACAUGGCCAAAAUAUUCAAGUUUGCGAUUUCAUGAUCCUCUUCACACUUUUUGUAAAUUCUGUUGUGAAUUAUUUUUAGAAAUAUCUUUAACAUAUCGGUCAUGAGAGUUAUGUGUCGAAAGUCGUUACAUAUUUUAGCAUUGUUGGAUUUAGAGAGGGAUACAAACGUAGAUAUUAGCCAACCUUGUUGAAUUUUGCGAGUUUUAUAUUAUUGAAGAUAUUUGCAAGGAGAUCUUAAGUCUUCAUCUUGUAAGAGCUUUACAAUUUAACUGUGAAUGUUAUAGGGACCAGGUGCUUUUCCAGUUUUCAUGUUUUCAAUGCGUAUUUUAUUUAAGAUGUUAGAAUGGGUAAAGUAUUAUCAAAAGUAAAGUAUGUUUAAAAGUAAAGUAAAGUGGGUAAAGUAUGUUUAAACGUCUGUCGAUAUCUUGUUCCCUGUUGUCUAAGAAUAGAUUUUGUAAAUAUGUAUAUAUUAUGUUUUCUAUUCGUCGUUUAUUUCUUCUAACGUUCUCAGGAUUCUAUCAUCCUGGUUGUUAGUACGCCACACUGUCGUUAUUUCUAUUUCCAGUUAGUUCCUUUAUUUUCUUGAGGAGUUUUACAUCGUAUUUUUUCUGCGAGUCUCUAUCUCUUCACAUGUUUCUGUAAGCCACUUUUCCUUUGCCUCUUUUUUCUUAUUUGUUUGUGAAUUUCUUUAUAUUUACCGUUAUCUUUGUGUCGUCUUGUGUCGUCGUCUCCAAUUCAUCAUUUUUAGCAUUUCAUCAGUGACUCAUGUUUUUUUUGCCUGUUGAUUUGUUUUUUAGAUCGUCUUCAGUUUGUUUAAUUAUUGUUUUUAAUUCAGACCACAACUUGUCAGGAUGUACUCUACCACUCCACUACCAAAACGUUGUUGUCGACUAAAUAGGACCUUUAAUAAUGAUAUUCUAAACUAUUUAAGCAUUUUCUUGAUCUUUCACUCAGCAUAUAAAACAUGUUUUAAAAUUUAAUAUGUAAAAUAUACUGAAACAUAUGUAAAAGAUAUGUAAAACAUAAUAUGUAAAAUAUUUGCAAAACACAUGUGAAUACGCGAAGACGUGUAAAAAUAUGCAAAACAUGUAAAAUAUGUGUAAAACAUUUGACGUCUUGUUUUACAUACUUAGACCUGAAAUACUGACAGUUUUCGGAUUAUUAUUUACUUUUCAAAUGAUAAUAAAUCAGCAAGAUAGUAAACAUUGCUGAACCUUACUUCGAGCAAACUGUUCUAAACACUCUCCAGAACUAUGAUCACCUCAUUGCAAACACCCUGUAUAUUAUUGUAUGUAGAUGAUGGUUAAAAUGUUUUCUGUUUAUAAGGUGACCAUUAUUCCUCGCUGGAAAUGAAAUUCUAAAAAUCUUAGCGAUGAAAUAAUGUACAUAAUUUUAGAUAGACGUUAAAAAUGAUUUGCUAUAGAAGAUGAAUGAUUUUUCUGAGAUCUGUAAUAUUUACGGUGGACAUAAGGUUUUUAAAAUAGAUGUUAAAGGACUAUAGUCCAGGAACCGAAGCUUUUCACCUCGCAAUUUUUACAGAAUGGAUUUGUUUUAAAUUUUGAGAAUCACUAGUGGAUAGUCCAAGGAUCAAAAUCUAUAUGAUGCCGAAAGGCGCUUUUACCAUGGGGGUGGUUGUCAUCCCAUCUCGGGGGUGGACAUUUUUUAUUAUGUUUUGACGGCAAAAGUUGAUAAAAAUAUUCAUUCUAAGCAAAAAAUGUUCUAUACAUUUUUUUGAUAAAAUUAAUAGUUUUCGAUUUAUUGUUUUCGAAAGUGUUAGUUUUAUAUCGAAAAAAUCAAUAUUUUUCGAUACUCAUUUACGAUUCACUCAAUUUUUGCCGUAGAAAAUUUUUUCAAACACAGUUCUUGGAAAUUAAAAAACCUACAAUUUCACAUUUAAACAUUUUUUCGUAUCUCUGAUGCUAAUCUUUCUAUUCUGAAGAAAAUGGCAUUUUUUAUCAAACUACAAAAAUUCGUUAUUCGGUUUUAACUCCAGUUUUUAAAAACUUAAUCAUUUUAAGCCAGUCAAACUUCUAGAAUCUAUUAAUAAUACAUAAAUAAAGAAGAAUGAAUAAGGCUAAUGACUAAAACACCGCUAACUUACAUUAUUAUGCUUCCAAUUGGAUUUCCCCCUUUUUUUUUUCAAAAAAAUAUAUUGAUUUUUUAACCGUAACUUUUUUAUUAGAAAGUUUGGUAAAAAUGAAUUUUGUAGGUUUUUACAAGAUCUAUAAGCCUACUAAUAUUAAAUCUUUUUAAAAUCCUCAGUCGCAAAAAGAGGUGACUUUGAAAUGGUUGGUAAAGGUGGUUUUUGCAUGUUAUACAAGUUUUAAUUGUCAAUAGCUCACUCAAUUUUUGCCGCAGGAAAAAUUUUUGCAAACCAGGUUCUUGGGAAUUAAAUAAGCUAUAAUUUCAUAUUUAAACAUUUUUUCGUAUCUCUGAUGCUAAUCUAUCAAUGCUGAAGAAAAGGCCAUUUUUUCCAAACUACAAAAAUUCGUUAUUCGCUUUUGACUCAAUUUUUUUAAAAACUAAUCAUUCUAAGCCGGUCAAACUUCUAGAACCUAUUGUCAUAAAUAUGUGUGUUGUUAAUGUCUUCUGGUCCAAAUUAAUUAAAUAGAAUAAAUACGAAUUAAUCUGCUAACAUUAUACUUUUAUUUAGCGGAGUUACAGACAGCAAUUGUACAAUAAUAACAAUAAUAACAAUGAUUCAUAACACAUCGGCCAACGCCUACAUAGUUACUAUUUUCUAACUAUAUAUCAAAAUACUGAUUACUCAGCCUAUUUUAUAUCGAUCUAAAUAAUAACAAUAUACUUAGUUCGAGUUCACGCAUAUUAAACAUGUGAUACAAAACUAUAAACUGAUAUUGUUUUUAUAUAUGCUCAAUACCCCAAAGGUUAAUAACAUUCUUAUUUAAAAUUUAAUUUAUAUCAGAGUGGUCAUAUUAUACUACACUAUUAAUAAUACAUAAAAUUUUUGUCUUCUUGCAAAGAAGACCAAAUAAGGUCAAUGACUAAUUUUAAUUAGGGUGGUGAUUAGGGGGUUGCUUCCGAUCACUUUUUCGCUGAAGAAAAUAGGGACUGACAUUCUUUUCAUUAUAAGUCUCUUAUUUUUUGAGCUAGAUACUUUUUUUAUCUCUGGAGAUAAAUAUUUUUAAAUACUUUAAAUUAGUUUGAACAAGUUAUCCUCGAAGAAUGCAUAGUUUUCCCGUCUUUUGACUUUGAAACUACAAUAUUUAGCAUUUGACGACGAAGAGCUAACAUAAUAAAGUAUAGCUCGAUUACUGUUGGUCUCAAAAAAAAUAAAAAAAACGGAUUUGUUUAUUUUUUUUAAAAGGUACAUUUCUGUUAAGUAAAGUUGUUUUGAUAAAACGAAAACUUUUCGAGUUAGCAGAAAACAUUGAUUUUUUCGAUAUAAAACACUUUCGAUAGCGAAUAAAUCGAACACUAUUAAUUUUAUCAAAAAAAUGUAUAGAACGUUUUUUGCUUAGAAUGAAUGUUUUUACCAACUUUUGCGGUCUUUUGCGGUCAAAAUAUAAUAAAAAAUUUCCACCCCUGAGAUGGGGUGGCAACUACCCCCAUGGUAAAAGCGCCUUUUGGCAUGAUAUUGAUUUUGAUCCUUGGACUAUCCACUACUUAUUCUCAAAUUUUCAAGCAAAUCGAUCCAUUCUGUAAAAAUUGCGAGGUUUUGUCCUAUUUUAAGCUUCAUUACUUGGACUACUAAUCUUGGGAUUAAAUGAUACUUUGUUUGCGCAGUUUAUUCCAUUCUGUUAAUUUACGCAGUUUGAUUUAGCCUUUUUUAAAACUAAAUUUUUUUUACUUUCAAGGGAAUUUUAGAUUAUCUUUAUACAUUUUGCAUAUACAUCUGAAGUUUGAAUCGUUUUUUAACAUCACUCAUAGAACAUUCAUUAUACAGGGAAAAUAUUUAAAAGAAAUAAUACGCUUAAAACUAUGCUAUAUGUGCAGUUUAUGGUUAGGUCGGUUAAAUAUAAUAAUUUUUUCAACACGCAAUUGAAUGUAUCGUCGGUUCACUCAGCUUGGAAAUAUUUUGACACACCUUAUUAACAAAGCUCGGAUUUAUAGGCAACAUAAUUUUAAAGAAAAAAGCGCCUAUAUAGACUAAGCUUUUUAUUAAAAAUGACUGACAUCUUUAUAGAAAACAUAUAGGCAAAUAACUUACUAUUUGUGCAAAGUAAAUUAAUUUAAUAUUCUAUGUCUUUUCCUUUUUUUUUUGAAUUGCUUUAAUUAUUUGUCAAAGAUAUUUGGACUAACUCAAUAUCAUCUUUGGCUUUUGUUCGUCCACACCACUAGGAAUAACAAUUUUUAAUUUUCUUGUUUUUGUAAAGAAUAUUUUAAUUCAUUUUCUUUUCAAUAUUAUAAUUAAUUAUUAGUGAAAGAAUUUAUUAUUUCCAUUGUUUCUAAUUAUUUAUUAGUUUUUGGAACACACCGUAUAUACGAGUAGGUUAAUACCUAAUACAGUGAGUAUUCAUUUUUAUCUUUUUUCAAGUAAAAACCUUAAAGUUUUUUGUAUAUAGUUACCUACCUACUCGUUUCAUUUUUUUAAAAACAAAGACAUUCGCCAACCAACUCUCUUGAUAAGCAGUCACAAUUCCAAAAAGUGUAUUGAAAAUAAAUAUAGUCCUCGCGAGUGAUUUCUACAACUCGACAAUAGCAGUACGAAGAAUAGCAGGCCUGCUCCAGCUUGUUCAACGAGACUUGACAAGGUAGGAAAUCUUUCCAUUGCAAUUUAAUUUAAGGUCCGGUUUUUUUACUGUUAUUUUUUUAUUUUAAAUUCACCCUAUGGUAAACACUCCACUCAUAAAGCUCACUGAGUUAGUAGUCUCCUCCAAGAAGAUUUAGGCUUUUACAACUCUUCGUGAGUCUUUGCCGCGUUCACUAUUGUCUUCCAUUGGUUCCAAUCCUGUGCUAUUAUUUCCCAUGGUCUCACUUCCAUCUUCUCUAACUGCAUCUUUCCACCUUUUUCUAGGCCGUCCCGCCGGUCUUCUACCGUCUGGUCUUUCCCAAAACACAUUGCUAAUCAGUCUGUCGACAUCACUUCGUACCACGUGGCCUGCUCAUCUUAGUCUAUUGGCUUUUAUGUAUCUCACGAUGUUUUCAUGUCCGAAGAGAGUCUCUGAGCAGAUGGGUUGUGAAUUAUUUAAAAUUAUCUCAUCUAAAUUUCCUCGGCAUCCUGUAUGAUUUAUAAUUUUUGAAAAUCUCGGGAGGUUGUAACCAGAGAAAGUAUUCCACCUGUUGUUAAUCUGGUGGUAUGGGAACGCUAUUUAUUGUCGUUUUCUGUGCUACUUCGAUUGAUAACUUACUUUUAUAAUAAAACAUUUAACCUAUUUUUUUUUCAUCGUCAUCGUUCGCCGACGAGUAUUUUUUCCGAUCGCCUGUUUAAUUGGUCCUUCGAGCCGGAUCAAUUGGUCUAUCUUGCGCCACCUAGCGGUAAAUUGCACAUUAUAUUCAGUGUUAAAUAAUUAUCCUGUAUGAUGAGUAGGGUUUUAUGAGAGAAAUAUUUUAGAAUUAAGUGUUACAUAUUUUUUAUAUUGUAGUGGCUAAGCUUCAACUUUUUCAAAAAUACUUUAAACUAAAAUCUAUUUUACAACGAUUAAAUACGUUCAUUUACCCAGCGAUUAUUUUAUUUUAUCACUAUAAUUUUAAAACUAAAAUAACAUACAUACUCAAUUGUUACACUUUUGCGCUAUCUUUCAAAUAAUUGACACAGUAGUACAAACACAAAAGACAAUUUUUGUUUAUACUUAAAAAACGGAAGUAUUUAGUACACCAAGUAUUUUAUUCGUUUCAAUUACUCGUAUAGACAGGUAGGUUAUCCACGCAUCUAGGAAAUUAAAAGUACGUAUUCCAUACAGUAAUUAAUUUUAUCGAAAUUAAAAGUCGCCAGUAGUAACUACCAAUUUUUGUAUCAAUUUUUCAAGUUUUAUCUUAGAAGGGUCAUUUCUGACGAUUACAUACAUUUUGAAGUGAACAUUAAACUAAUAUAAGAGAAAAUGCUAUGCUAAUACAUUGAGCUAUUAAAUUAUUAGAGCCACUUUAGAAUUAAACUUUUUGUUUUAAAAGAAUUUAAAACUAAUGAGUUUACUAGAAACGAAGGUAAUCUAUAAUAUAUUGCUUAAUAUUCUUUAUUUUUGGGAACUUCACAUCUUCUACAUCUUGUAGAAGUUGUACCUUUCGAUUAGAAGUGUAAGAUUAUUUAAGGAGAUAUCCAAGUGUAAAAGUACGAAAUUCAUAUACAGUCAAACCCGCUUAUUAGAAUACCGGUUAUAGGAAUAUCCCGGUUUAAGGAAUAGAAAUUUGAGGUCCCGAAACAGUUUUACUAGACACUAAUGAUCGGUUAUUAGAAUAUCUCGGUUAUAGGAAUACUUUUGCUUGGCACGAAUGCUAUUCCAAUAAGCGAGUUCGACUGUACUUUUUUUUGGGAAUUUCUGAAAUAAAAAGUACUGUACCAAUUGUUUUGAAAAUUUGCAUGAACAUUUAUUAUAAAAAGAAGUACAUGUAAAACAAUUUCUAUAAAAAAUAUUGAAAAUUAAACGAUUUAUGCGCCAUCUGACACCGUGAAAAUAAAAACAUGGCCCCACUGCUGCAAUGAUUGGAACUAAUAGAGAUCCUGAAACCUAAAAUUUCAAAGUGAUUAUUGAAAUAUGUUUUUUCAAAGUAUCAAAAAUAUUCCAUUAAACGGUACUAUUUUACUAAAACGUAUUCAUAUAAGCGGUUAAAUUUAUUAAGGAGUAAAUGGAAACCUUUCGGGACCUCAAAAUUCUAUUCCUUAAACCGGGAUAUUCCUAUAAGCGGUACUCUAAUAAGCGAGUUGGACUGUAUAUGAGUUUGUUAUUUACCGUGUUACUCCUUCCAGUACAAAUAAGUAAAUGAGAAUCACUGACAAAAGUAAUGGAGUCAGUAAUGUAAUGGUAUAAAGCUCACAACAACAUAUACUUACAAGUAUAAGACCGGUACUUACUGUCUCACCAGUAAUAUCACUUUCAAAAUUACAUAAAAAUUCUUACUUUAAUUUAUACAAAGUUUAAUUUGACAGAAAUGACCUUUCUCGGUAUAUCUGCAUUUGUUUGUAGGUCGCUUUUGAGCAUAUUUUCUGUUAUUGGUAUAGCUGUAGUAGGUCUUUUUUUAUACUUUAUUAUAUUUUACAAUCUAUUUAUAUUAUUUUUAUUUUUGUUAUACCACCACAUGCAUUUAGCCCAUUCAAGACUAGUCGUACUGUACAUACCAUAAUAUAUUUAUUGUAUAUUUACUAAAAACUAUUGUAAUUUGUAAGUUAAUUAUGUAAAAUAAAAUUCAUUAGCCUGAUUAGAA